UUCUCCGUAGCUUAGUGGUGAGAGCACUGCUCCACAAACGCAGAGGCGUACCUAUAGGUUCGAUUCAUGCCGGAGGAC